UGAAAACUGUCACUCAAGCUGACCCAGUUUCAUCAAAAGAUUACAUAAAGAAAAUUGAGGUAGGCUACAACCCCAGCCUCCCUGAGAAAAGCCCCAGGGUUGUGUCUCCCCACUGACUCCGUUCAGUUCUCUCCCUCCAAACAACUUCAUCUAAGCAAGAAAUGAAAAUUGGUCAGACUGGACUCAGAGCUGAAGUCUUGGCUGCUUGGCCAAUUCUUCCCCACUUUCUGUUAUUUGACUAUGGAAGCUAACCGCUUUCUAUUGCCGUGACAGAACACCCGAGCAGACAAUCUACAGCAGAGAUUCAUUCGGACUCAUGGUGGCAGAGGUUUCAUCCAUGGCCAGUUGGCUUCAUCGCUGUUAGUCUGUGAUAAGGCAGAAAACAUGGCAGAAGGGUGUGGAAGUGGAAGCUGCUCAUGUCAGGGCAGUCAGGAAGCAGAGAGACAAAAAGGGCUGGAACCAGAUAAACCUUUCAGAUCGUGUCCCCAUUGACCUCAUUCCUUGAAUCAACUAAACUUCAUUUCCAUUACCCCCUUACUAAUUCUAUUAAAUUAUGAAUCUAUCAGUGGUUUAAUGCAUCAGUGCAGCUAACAAUCCAUGACCACUUCUUAGUGGCUGGAUAUACUAGCUGUGGACCAAACCUUCAAAUCUGGAAUCUUUGAGGGGGCAUUUUAUAUCCAACUUAUAACACCCUUCUUUUCUCUGCAGCUUAGGUCUCCAUUUCUGUAAAUGGGGCUCAGGUGAGCUCCCUACCCUUGGGGUUUUUGUGCAUGGUAAGAUGGUAGGUGGAAGGAUGGGUGCAGAGCACACAGGACAUGUUGGGCAGAUAGCGCAUGUUCAAUCUUUGCUUCAAGUGUAGGUAUUAAAUACUGACUCCAAAGCUGGAGGAGACCUUUGAAACCAGCGGUUCCUUCAUUUGGGUGAUGAACACGUGGAGGCCCAGAGAAGGGAAGCCACUGCUUAGUGACAUGGAUUGAAGGUUCAUCUCCUCAUAAAAAACCAUACAUUGUAGCUCUACCCACCCAUUGUGAUGGCAUUUAGUGGUGAUUUCUCUAAAAAAAAUUAUUGAUUUAUUUUUAUUGGCAUAUGUGUGUUGUACAUAGUAGUGGGUUUUAUGCAGACAUUUAAUUAUAUCAUGUACACUGAUCAUAUCCACCCCUCCUAUAUGAUCUACUCUCUCUCUCCUCUCCCUUGCUGGUCCCUUUCUUUUGAUCAGAUAGACCCCCAUCUACUUAAUGUCAUAUAUAUCUCAACAGUUCCCCCCAACAUACACACAUGAGGUUUUUUUUAGUUGAAAUCACAUCAUUUGCAGAGAGGCAGAUGGAACUUUAGGUGGGUCUUUGGGAGGUAUUGUGACAGUGGGGCCUUUAUAAAAGAAGCCAGGCAGCCAGCUCCCACUUGCUGGUGUCAGAGCACAGAUGAUUGAAGAGAGUUCCCAAUAUAACUGUGGGUCAUCCUGUCACCCCGAUUCUCAGACACUAGCUCCAGAAUGAAGAACUAAAUGACUUACAGCCACUGAGUUGGUGGUGUUCCGUACAGCAGCACUUAUGAACUAAGAAAAUAGGACAAUUUGGAUUCAAGACCAGGCCUACAAAGUUGUUGAUCCUUGUACUCCAAAGGACACAGGAUACAACCUUGGUUCCUCCAGGCAGGCAGGACCAGGACUGGCCUAUGCUCACAGUCUUCUGCCCCCUUCCAGCAGAGGAGAAAGGCUUACUUCAGGCUGCAGACUGCAAAUCUGGGGCACUCCAGAGGGUUGUCACUCUUGGUGCUAACUGGCUCCCUCUGAGCUUUUUCCUGGGGUCUUGGCUUCUCCCCCCACCCUCAUCUGGCCCAGGAGCCUGUAAUAUUUCUCUGUUGCUGCUUCCUCCCCUGCUAAGAUCUCCUUAGUGUUCUGAUCUUCUGUGGUCCUCAGGUACUCGGCCCCUCGGGUUGUGAUGUAGACACUGGGGAGAACCUGACCUCACCUGAGCUGUCAUGGACAUCUCUGCAGGCACAACAACGGACAGCCGCAUGGGCAACCACUGCAGACUGCUUCCAGGAGGCUGAGAGUGGGGCCAAGCACGAGAAAACUGAGGUGGGUUCAAGGCAGGGUCCAUGAUUUUAACACCCUAGCUCACCAAAGACACGUGAGCGCAUCCUUUCUGUCAAACCAACACAGGAGUUAGGAAGCCUGUGGAGUUGGGGUGCCAAGAAAUAGACAAAGACCAGACCUCAAAAAGGGACAUCCAGUACAGGUCCUGAUACUGCUGCUAUCUAGCUGUUAUGGGCUCUCAUGGGGUGCAGGUACUCGAGGUGCCUAUUACCACAAGUUGAGUGGUUGUGUGGGUAUCAUAUUCUCCACAGUGGGUGGCCAGUAAACACACAGACAUCCAGGUAAAAGGAAUCUGUUUAGCUAUUGACAGAUUCCCAGUUACAGAACUUGCCAUUGAGGUGACCGGGGACAGCUGAAAUGACUUCGGUAGUUCUGAUCUAGGAGCCAGAAGGAGCAUCUGGACCAGGUACUGUUGUUUCUUCCAGCUUGGCCUCACAUCUCCUUGCUCUCAGCCACAGCUAAAGUGCAUGAGGAAAGAAAAGUGGCCAUCUUGAGCUUUACCAGACCACCACUAUACGCCAGGCACUGUGUGUGUGAUAUCCUAUCUCAUUCGGUCUCAGUAGCUCCAGGACAUGAACAUCCCUGGCCUCACUGUAUAAAGGAAGAAGGAGUUCAAAAUGGGGGUAGCUUGCCCAGGGGAAGCCUGCCAGACCUGGCAGGUUUGAACACGGUCUGUUUUAGGGAACUUGGGAUCUGGGUUGACGAAGCAUUCAGGGAAGAUCCUGUAACCCUAAGAAGAUUGGAGAAGACGGGGGUUACAGUGAAGGGAAGGGGGCUUUGGGACCUCAGGGCCGCAGAGGGCCAAACGAGACCUGCUUUGCUCCAUUCUCCAUUGUGUCACGGCACUGCAGCCCACAGCGCCCUCCUGCUAGAUAAGGGCCAUUUGCAACUACUUUUAAUUUGGAACAAACUAGCCGCUCCCCCAUGGUCCUGAAGUUAAUAGGAUGUCUGUGCGGCAUUGCCAGGCUAAGCAUCCUUGGAUAAAUUAUUCUUGCCUGCAUUAGGGUUCUCUAGAAGGGAGGCCAGGAAAUUUAGGAGACACAGCUUUGGCAAGUGGUGGCGUGUGACUUUCAUCUGACUGUGGAGACCCAAGAGAGCACCUGGGCAGCUGAAAUAGGUCAGUGGAGUGGCGGGCCUGUUAUAGAGGAGCAAGGAUAGGAGACCUGGCAGGUAGAAUGAAAGCUACUGCAUGUGGACAGAGCCAAAGCAAGGGCAGAUCUCAGUGUGGUCAUCCUGACCUGGGGCCUGGCAGGCAGCUAAGAUCCAGGAACCCAGUGGUCGAGCUUUCUGCAGACGGCAGGGCACCAACCCUGAAGGGAGCCUGGACACAGGGACUGGGACUGUCUGACAUGGCUCUAGUGCUGCUUAUCCUGCUGCUGGGACAAUGAGCUAACAGGCAUGUGGUGGUAGGAACCCUCUUGCCCUAGCAAGGGGCUGAGCUUCCUAAGGAAGGGCUAGUGUCUUUUCUUAACAGAGGCCGUUACCAUAUCUCACAGAUCCCAAGUGUGAAGACCAUUCAUUUCCCAAACAAGUUCUAGCUGUCAGCUCAAUGCCAGAUGACUGACUACCCCAAACCAUGCCGGCUCCUCAACAGAUAAGAGCACUUUUCAUAGUUUCUCUAUAUAAAAAAAAAAAAAAAGAAGUUGUGUGGAAGAUCUCUCAUGGGUAUAAAGCCCAUCUAACAUCUGGCACAUGCCUUAGCCCUGCCCACUUCUCCAAGAGGUAACAGGGAUGCUGAAGAGCAUGGGUGUGACUGUCUUCUGUCCUUGGCCUGCAAGUGGUCCCUUUUCUUAUAAAGCAUGUUUUUUUAACGCAGGUCAGGUCUCCUUCUGGAAUUUGUCACAAUUCCUGAAUGGUAGGUGGCUGCUGAGGAGAUCCAGCUGCUACAUCAGUUCUCAACAAACCCACCAACACAAUGAACAGGGAGCUGGGGGCCAAAUUCUCUCAAAGAAUCUGGAUCUCACCCAUUCAACUAGACUGGCUGCUCAGCAAGCCCCAAGUGUCUUCCUGUCUCCACCUCUGUGAUGUUGUGAUUAUAGACAUAAGCCACCAUGCCCAACAUUCUCAGGGAUUCUCAUACUUGGGUGUCAAGGACUUUAUGCACUGAACCAUCUCUUCAGCCCAAGAGUUAUGUUCUUAACUCCUAGAAAGGGGUGAGAUAACAGAGGUGUUCAAACAUCCUUUGACGGGCUAGUGAGACGGCGCUGCAGGGAAAGACAUUUGCUGAGACUCCUGAUGACCUCAGCUUGAUCCCCCGGUCCCAUCUGGUGAAAAGAGAGAACUGACUUCUGCAAGUUUUCCUCUGAUGUCCAUGUAAAUGUAGUG